rnacentral:rRNA from 1 species
GCGGACAGAUGGGAGCUUGCUCCCUGAUGUUAGCGGCGGACGGGUGAGUAACACGUGGGUAACCUGCCUGUAAGACUGGGAUAACUCCGGGAAACCGGGGCUAAUACCGGAUGGUUGUUUGAACCGCAUGGUUCAGACAUAAAAGGUGGCUUCGGCUACCACUUACAGAUGGACCCGCGGCGCAUUAGCUAGUUGGUGAGGUAACGGCUCACCAAGGCGACGAUGCGUAGCCGACCUGAGAGGGUGAUCGGCCACACUGGGACUGAGACACGGCCCAGACUCCUACGGGAGGCAGCAGUAGGGAAUCUUCCGCAAUGGACGAAAGUCUGACGGAGCAACGCCGCGUGAGUGAUGAAGGUUUUCGGAUCGUAAAGCUCUGUUGUUAGGGAAGAACAAGUGCCGUUCAAAUAGGGCGGCACCUUGACGGUACCUAACCAGAAAGCCACGGCUAACUACGUGCCAGCAGCCGCGGUAAUACGUAGGUGGCAAGCGUUGUCCGGAAUUAUUGGGCGUAAAGGGCUCGCAGGCGGUUUCUUAAGUCUGAUGUGAAAGCCCCCGGCUCAACCGGGGAGGGUCAUUGGAAACUGGGGAACUUGAGUGCAGAAGAGGAGAGUGGAAUUCCACGUGUAGCGGUGAAAUGCGUAGAGAUGUGGAGGAACACCAGUGGCGAAAGGCGACUCUCUGGUCUGUAACUGACGCUGAGGAGCGAAAGCGUGGGGAGCGAACAGGAUUAAUACCCUGGUAGUCCACGCCGUAAACGAUGAGUGCUAAGUGUUAAGGAGGGUUUCCGCCCCUUAGUGCUGCAGCUAACGCAUUAAGCACUCCGCCUG